GAUCAUGGCUCAGGAUGAACGCUAGCUACAGGCUUAACACAUGCAAGUCGAGGGGCAGCGGGAUUGAAGCUUGCUUCAAUUGCCGGCGACCGGCGCACGGGUGAGUAACGCGUAUCCAACCUUCCGCAUACGUCGGGGAUAGCCUUCUGAAAGGAGAUUAAUACCCGAUGGUAUCAAGAGAUUGCAUGAUAACUUGAUUAAAGAAUUUCGGUAUGCGAUGGGGAUGCGUUCCGG
rnacentral:rRNA from 1 species